UCUGCUCUCAGACGUUAAGAGGACAGUGUGGAUCAGGUUUCCAGGCCUUUCAGAGACACCGACACAGCCGCAGCAACAAUGAUGAUGAUGUCACUGAUCCUGCUUCUGCUCACCCCGGGGCUCCUUGUUCAGGGUUCAUCAGGAGACAUCCUCCUGACUCAGACUCCUGGAUCUCAGUCUGUGGUUCCAGGACAGACCGUCUCCCUCAGAUGUCAAACCAGUUCAAGUGUUAGUAGCUGGCUCCACUGGUACCUUCAGAAACCUGGAGAAGCUCCUGAACUCCUGAUUUAUAAAGCUACAAACCGCCAGUCUGGAGUUUCAGAUCGUUUCAGUGGAAGUGGAUCUGGAUCUGACUUCACCCUGACUAUCAGAGGAGUCCAGGCUGAAGAUUCAGGAGUUUAUUUCUGUCAGCAGAGUUACAGCUACCCGUUCACACAGUGA